rnacentral:rRNA from 1 species
AUUGAACGCUGGCGGCAGGCUUAACACAUGCAAGUCGAGCGGGGGAAGGUAGCUUGCUACCGGACCUAGCGGCGGACGGGUGAGUAAUGCUUAGGAAUCUGCCUAUUAGUGGGGGACAACAUCUCGAAAGGGAUGCUAAUACCGCAUACGUCCUACGGGAGAAAGCAGGGGAUCUUCGGACCUUGCGCUAAUAGAUGAGCCUAAUUCGGAUUAGCUAGUUGGUGGGGUAAAGGCCUACCAAGGCGACGAUCUGUAGCGGGUCUGAGAGGAUGAUCCGCCCCACUGGGACUGAGACACGGCCCAGACUCCUACGGGAGGCAGCAGUGGGGAAUAUUGGACAAUGGGGGGAACCCUGAUCCAGCCAUGCCGCGUGUGUGAAGAAGGCCUUAUGGUUGUAAAGCACUUUAAGCGAGGAGGAGGCUACUCUAGUUAAUACCUAGGGAUAGUGGACGUUACUCGCAGAAUAAGCACCGGCUAACUCUGUGCCAGCCGCCGCGGUAA